rnacentral:misc_RNA from 1 species
AAGUCGUAACAAGGUUUCCGUAGGUGAACCUGCGGAAGGAUCAUUAUAGAGAUUUGGGUCCUUAUGGGCCCGGUUUCCAACCCUCUGUUUACCUUACCACUGUUGCCUCGGCAGGAUUACCCUACUAUUCUAGGAUUAUAGGGUGUUACUGCCGAUAGGCCCCAAUUAAAACCCUUUGUAAACCCAGUCUUCUGAGAGUAAAUUUAAAUACUUCAAAACUUUCAACAACGGAUCUCUUGGUUCUG